rnacentral:rRNA from 1 species
CCUACGGGAGGCAGCAGUGAGGAAUAUUGGUCAAUGGACGAGAGUCUGAACCAGCCAAGUAGCGUGAAGGAUGACUGCCCUAUGGGUUGUAAACUUCUUUUAUAUGGGAAUAAAAUGUUCCACGUGUGGGAUUUUGUAUGUACCAUAUGAAUAAGGAUCGGCUAACUCCGUGCCAGCAGCCGCGGUAAUACGGAGGAUCCGAGCGUUAUCCGGAUUUAUUGGGGUUAAAGGGAGCGUAGGUGGAUUGUUAAGUCAGUUGUGAAAGUUUGCGGCUCAACCGUAAAAUUGCAGUUGAAACUGGCAGGCUUGAGUACAGUAGAGGUGGGCGGAAUUCGUGGUGUAGCGGUGAAAUGCUUAGAUAUCACGAAGAACUCCGAUUGCGAAGGCAGCUCACUGGACUGCAACUGACACUGAGGCUCGAAAGUGUGGGUAUCAAACAGGAUUAGAUACCCCAGUAGUC